rnacentral:rRNA from 1 species
GAGCGGCGAACGGGUGAGUAACACGUGGGUGAUCUGCCUCGCACUCUGGGAUAAGCCUGGGAAACUGGGUCUAAUACCGGAUAUGACUUUCGGAUGCAUGUUCGAGGGUGGAAAGAUUUAUCGGUGCGAGAUGGGCCCGCGGCCUAUCAGCUUGUUGGUGGGGUAACGGCCCACCAAGGCGACGACGGGUAGCCGACCUGAGAGGGNGACCGGCCACACUGGGACUGAGACACGGCCCAGACUCCUACGGGAGGCAGCAGUGGGGAAUAUUGCACAAUGGGCGAAAGCCUGAUGCAGCGACGCCGCGUGGGGGAUGACGGCCUUCGGGUUGUAAACCCCUUUUGACAGGGACGAAGCGCAAGUGACGGUACCUGUAGAAGAAGCACCGGCCAACUACGUGCCAGCAGCCGCGGUAAUACGUAGGGUGCGAGCGUUGUCCGGAAUUACUGGGCGUAAAGAGCUUGUAGGCGGUCUGUCACGUCUUCUGUGAAAACUUGGGC